GAUAUGCAAAAAAAGUUUACAGUGCAUCUUCACAUUUAUUAUAGAGUGGCUGCGAUUUCACAAGCAGGAAGAGAACAUCAACAAAAUGAAGAUGAGAAUUAAUUAAGUCUGACGACGUCAUUCUAAUAUCCACCUGGUGAAAUGUCACCACGAAUCCCUGGAUUCUUAUAGAGCUCACCUUUCACUCCCAGAAUUUCACAGCAGCCACAACAAAAGCGUUACCAUGGGAACUGUUCUAACAAGUAAUAAUUCAGAUGCCUCUCCAACAGGUUGGACACCACACAUAUAAUUCUACUGCGAAUUGGUUUUUCCCAGCGGGAUUCAUUUUUGGAUGUUGGUGUUUUACAUGAUAUACCCACUAUACCAGGUGAUGAUUCUGGGGCAUGUUUGAGUCGGCGUCCCCUCCUGCAAACCCAUCUCCCUCUGGUUGAUUAUAUGCUUCUGUCUCUGACAGCAGAUCCCUCCCUGUUCUUCACGCCGCUCAUCACAUUCAGCAGCAGAGAGGUGUUGGUUCCUACCCGCCCAGUCUGACAUUUUGGGAGUCACAGGAGCACCAGGACAAGGACUUUCUCCAGAGGGGACAAUGAGGGACCUCUCCAAAGAAUGACCCUCAGACAUGAUGUGCUCACUGGGAAGUCCUGGAACAACCUGACACUGGCAAUGAGGGAGUGUCAUCUCCCACUUUCAACAGUCAACUCAGAGGCUGAAAGUAAACGGUUCCAGGAUCCUU